GAGGUAUCAGUCUCUCUCUCUCUCUCUCUCUCUCUCCAGAGGUAUCAGUCUCUCUCCAGUAUCAGUGUAUCUUCAGACUUACCCAGCAUCGUUGUCCGUCCUCUUCAGUCCUUUGGAGAUGUGAGUCAGACUGUGUCUGAACUGAGAGAGAAACUAGAAGACUUCCUUAAAGGAGAAUGGACCAAGAUCUCCACUACAGUGAAUAUAGUGGAUGUUGUACUGCCUCCAGAGCCCAAGACCAGAGAACAGUUGUUACAAUAUUCCUGUCAGCUCACACUGGACCCAAACACAGCACGCACACACCUCUCUCUGUCUGAAGGGAACAGAAAGGUGACACGUACAGACCAAGUCCAACCAUAUCCUGACCAUCCAGACAGAUUCACCAACUGGUGUCAGGUUCUGUGUAGAGAGGGUCUGUCUGGACGCUGUUACUGGGAGGUGGAGAGGACUGGUGAUGUUGUUACAGCAGUCUCAUAUAAAGACAUCAGCAGAACAGAGAGAGAUGGUGGAUUUGGAGACAAUAACAAGUCCUGGAGUUUAGAGUACGAUAGUGAUGGUUAUUGUUUCAGACACAAUAAUGUUGAGACUAAAGUAUCAGGCCCUCAGUCCUCCAGAGUAGGAGUGUACCUGGAUCACAAGGCAGGUACUCUGUCCUUCUACAGUGUCUCUGACACAAUGACCCUCCUCCACAGAGUCCAGACCACAUUCACUCAGCCCCUCUAUCCUGGGGUUAGUGUCUAUAAUUAUAAUGGUUCUGCUGAGCUGGUUAAACUGUAAACUGAUUUGUUACUAAUUAAAAUUCAAUCCAAUGUUUUAAUCUUG